CACGGGGGUUGCGAGCGUUGUCCGGAAUUACUAGGCGUAAAGGGCAGGCAGGCGGAUCCAUAAGUUUAUCGUUUAAGGCGUCGGCUUAACCGGCGUAGGGCGGUAGAUACUGUGGAUCUGGAAUGCGGUUGGGGAAGACAGAAUUCCUGGUGUAGCGGUGGAAUGCGCAGAGAUCAGGAGGAAUACCGAAGGCGAAGGCAGUCUUCCAAGCCGUUAUUGACGCUCAACUGCGAAGGUGUGGGUAUCAAACAGGAUUAGAUACCCUGAUAGUCCCUGA
rnacentral:rRNA from 1 species